rnacentral:tRNA from 1 species
GAAAGUGUAGCUCAAGUGGUAAGAGCGUCAGCCCUGUAAGCAUGAGGUCCUGAGUUUAAACCCCAGUAUUGUCA